AACGAACGCUGGCGGCAGGCUUAACACAUGCAAGUCGAACGCAUCCUUCGGGGUGAGUGGCAGACGGGUGAGUAACGCGUGGGAACGUGCCCUUCAGUUCGGGAUAACCCAGGGAAACUUGGGCUAAUACCGGAUACGUGCGAGAGCAGAAAGAUUUAUCGCUGGAGGAUCGGCCCGCGUCUGAUUAGCUAGUUGGCGGGGUAAUGGCCCACCAAGGCGAUGUUCAGUUGCUGGUAUGAGAGGAUGAUCAGCCACAUUGGGACUGAGUAACGGCCCAAACUCCUCCGGGAUGCAGCAGUGGGGAAUGUUGGACAAGGGGCGCAAGCCUGAUCCAGCCAUGCCGCGUGAGUGAUGAAGGCCUUAGGGUUGUAAAGCUCUUUCGUCCGGGACGAUAAUGACGGUACCGGAAGAAGAAGCCCCGGCUAACUUCGUGCCAGCCGCCGCGGUAA
rnacentral:rRNA from 1 species